rnacentral:misc_RNA from 1 species
UCCGGCUUAUCACCGGCGGUUUCUUUAGAGUGCCCAACUAAAUGAUGGCAACUAAAGACGAGGGUUGCGCUCGUUGCGGGACUUAACCCAACACCUCACGGCACGAGCUGACGACAGCCAUGCAGCAUCUGUGCCCGCUCCCUCGCGGGUCCCUUCCCUUUCGGGUCGGUACCACGGGCAUGUCAAACCCAGGUAAGGUUCUGCGCGUUGCAUCGAAUUAAACCACACGCUCCGCUGCUUGUGCGGGCCCCCGUCAAUUUCUUUGAGUUUUAAUCUUGCGACCGUACUCCCCAGGCGGAGUGCUUAAUGUGUUGACUUCGGCACAGCAGGGGUCGAUACCCGCUACACCAAGCACUCAUCGUUUACGGCGUGGACUAC